UUACCGAGUGCGGGCCCCUCGGGGCCCAACCUCCCACCCGUGUUGCCCGAACCUAUGUUGCCUCGGCGGGCCCCGCGCCCGCCGACGGCCCCCCUGAACGCUGUCUGAAGUUGCAGUCUGAGACCUAUAACGAAAUUAGUUAAAACUUUCAACAACGGAUCUCUUGGUUCCGGCAUCGAUGAAGAACGCAGCGAAAUGCGAUAACUAAUGUGAAUUGCAGAAUUCAGUGAAUCAUCGAGUCUUUGAACGCACAUUGCGCCCUCUGGUAUUCCGGAGGGCAUGCCUGUCCGAGCGUCAUUGCUGCCCUCAAGCCCGGCUUGUGUGUUGGGCCCCGUCCCCCCCGCCGGGGGGACGGGCCCGAAAGGCAGCGGCGGCACCGCGUCCGGUCCUCGAGCGUAUGGGGCUUCGUCACCCGCUCUAGUAGGCCCGGCCGGCGCCAGCCGACCCCCAACCUUUAAUUAUCUCAGGUUGACCUCGGAUCAGGUAGGGAUACCCGCUGAACUUAAGCAUAUCAAUAAGCGGAGGAAAAGAAACCAACCGGGAUUGCCCUAGUAACGGCGAGUGAAGCGGCAAGAGCUCAAAUUUGAAAGCUGGCCCCCUCGGGGUCCGCAUUGUAAUUUGCAGAGGAUGCUUCGGGAACGGCCCCCAUCUAAGUGCCCUGGAACGGGCCGUCAUAGAGGGUGAGAAUCCCGUCUGGGAUGGGGUGGCCGCGCCCGUGUGAAGCUCCUUCGACGAGUCGAGUUGUUUGGGAAUGCAGCUCUAAUUGGGUGGUAAAUUUCAUCUAAAGCUAAAUAUUGGCCGGAGACCGAUAGCGCACAAGUAGAGUGAUCGAAAGAUGAAAAGCACUUUGAAAAGAGAGUUAAACAGCACGUGAAAUUGUUGAAAGGGAAGCGCUUGCGACCAGACUCGCCCGCGGGGUUCAGCCGGCACUCGUGCCGGUGUACUUCCCCGCGGGCGGGCCAGCGUCGGUUUGGGCGGCCGGUCAAAGGCCUCUG
rnacentral:rRNA from 1 species